AGGAAGCGCUCUGAGGGCAAUGGUGUUCAAUUUUCGUUUGUGCGUGGCGGUUAGCUGGACGCGCCAGAGCAGUGAUGCACAAUAUCGGAUUUGUGAAACGUACCCCCAGCUUUUUUCCCCUUUUAAAGAUCACCGUGUAAGAACUGUACGGAAUAUCGUCAAGGAGGAACUGUCAUGGGGGAAAUUGAAUUAAAAUUGCAUUGAUAAGUACAAUUUUGUAAGCAGUAAUAUAGAUUGGCAUUUAAGAAA